UAAUCAAAACUUGGUCAUUCC
rnacentral:misc_RNA from 1 species